GAUGAACGCUGGCGGCGUGCCUAAUGCAUGCAAGUCGAGCGAACAGACGAGGAGCUUGCUCCUCUGUCGUUAGCGGCGGACGGGUGAGUAACACGUGGAUAACCUACCUAUAAGACUGGGAUAACUUCGGGAAACCGGAGCUAAUACCGGAUAAUAUAUUGAACCGCAUGGUUCAAUAGUGAAAGACGGUUUUGCUGUCACUUAUAGAUGGAUCCGCGCCGCAUUAGCUAGUUGGUAAGGUAACGGCUUACCAAGGCAACGAUGCGUAGCCGACCUGAGAGGGUGAUCGGCCACACUGGAACUGAGACACGGUCCAGACUCCUACGGGAGGCAGCAGUAGGGAAUCUUCCGCAAUGGGCGAAAGCCUGACGGAGCAACGCCGCGUGAGUGAUGAAGGUCUUCGGAUCGUAAAACUCUGUUAUUAGGGAAGAACAAAUGUGUAAGUAACUAUGCACGUCUUGACGGUACCUAAUCAGAAAGCCACGGCUAACUACGUG
rnacentral:rRNA from 1 species